rnacentral:rRNA from 1 species
UACGUAGGGGGCUAGCGUUGUCCGGAAUCAUUGGGCGUAAAGCGCGCGUAGGCGGCCCGGUAAGUCCGCUGUAAAAGUCAAAGGCUCAACCUUUGAAUGUCAGUGGAUACUGCCGGGCUAGAGUCCGGAAGAGGCGAGUGGAAUUCCUGGUGUAGCGGUGAAAUGCGCAGAUAUCAGGAGGAACACCGAUGGCGAAGGCAGGUCUCUGGGCCAUAACUGACGCUGAGAAGCGAAAGCAUGGGGAGCGAACAGG